AGCAGUCGCCACGGUAAUACGGAGGGUGCAAGCGUUAAUCGGAAUUACUGGGCGUAAAGCGCACGCAGGCGGUCUGACAAGUCAGAUGUGAAAUCCCCGGGCUUAACCUGGGAACUGCAUUUGAAACUGUCAGGCUGGAGUCUUGUAGAGGGGGGUAGAAUUCCAGGUGUAGCGGUGAAAUGCGUAGAGAUCUGGAGGAAUACCGGUGGCGAAGGCGGCCCCCUGGACAAAGACUGACGCUCAGGUGCGAAAGCGUGGGGAGCAAACAGGAUUAGAUACCCGCGUAGUCCCUGUCUCUUAUAC
rnacentral:rRNA from 1 species